rnacentral:rRNA from 1 species
UACGUAGGGUGCGAGCGUUGUCCGGAAUUAUUGGGCGUAAAGAGCUCGUAGGCGGUUUGUUGCGUCUAUCGUGAAAACCUGGGGCUCAACCCCGGGCCUGCGGUGGAUACGGGCAGACUUGAGUUCGGUAGGGGAGACUGGAAUUCCUGGUGUAGCGGUGAAAUGCGCAGAUAUCAGGAGGAACACCGGUGGCGAAGGCGGGUCUCUGGGCCGAUACUGACGCUGAGGAGCGAAAGCGUGGGGAGCGAACAGG